GAUGAACGCUGGCGGCGUGCCUAAUACAUGCAAGUCGAGCGAACAGACGAGGAGCUUGCUCCUCUGACGUUAGCGGCGGACGGGUGAGUAACACGUGGAUAACCUACCUAUAAGACUGGGAUAACUUCGGGAAACCGGAGCUAAUACCGGAUAAUAUAUUGAACCGCAUGGUUCAAUAGUGAAAGACGGUUUUGCUGUCACUUAUAGAUGGAUCCGCGCGGCAUUAGCUAGUUGGUAAGGUAACGGCUUACCAAGGCAACGAUGCGUAGCCGACCUGAGAGGGUGAUCGGCCACACUGGAACUGAGACACGGUCCAGACUCCUACGGGAGGCAGCAGAAGGGAAUCUUCCGCAAUGGGCGAAAGCCUGACGGAGCAACGCCGCGUGAGUGAUGAAGGUCUUCGGAUCGUAAAACUCUGUUAUUAGGGAAGAACAAAUGUGUAAGUAACUAUGCACGUCUUGACGGUACCUAAUCAGAAAGCCACGGCUAACUACGUG
rnacentral:rRNA from 1 species